GAGUUUGAUCGUGGCUCAGGAUGAACGCUGGCGGCGUGCCUAAUACAUGCAAGUCGAGCGAACGGACGAGAAGCUUGCUUCUCUGAUGUUAGCGGCGGACGGGUGAGUAACACGUGGAUAACCUACCUAUAAGACUGGGAUAACUUCGGGAAACCGGAGCUAAUACCGGAUAAUAUUUUGAACCGCAUGGUUCAAAAGUAAAAGACGGUCUUGCUGUCACUUAUAGAUGGAUCCGCGCUGCAUUAGCUAGUUGGUAAGGUAACGGCUUACCAAGGCAACGAUGCAUAGCCGACCUGAGAGGGUGAUCGGCCACACUGGAACUGAGACACGGUCCAGACUCCUACGGGAGGCAGCAGUAGGGAAUCUUCCGCAAUGGGCGAAAGCCUGACGGAGCAACGCCGCGUGAGUGAUGAAGGUCUUCGGAUCGUAAAACUCUGUUAUUAGGGUAAGAACAUAUGUGUAAGUAACUGUGCACAUCUUGACGGUACCUAAUCAGAAAGCCACGGCUAACUACGUG
rnacentral:rRNA from 1 species